CAUCCAUCCUAUGUUGAUACCUGCUCCUCGGAGGACCUGAAUUAACACAACAAUGAACUUUCUGAAAGUAUCUUUGUUUGCAUUUGAUUGUGCAUGAGGUUCUUUAUGAGGGAGGCUGGUGAUGUGAGAUGGAAAAAGCUUCAUUAGGAGCUGGGGCUUGGCUCUGGCUCCUCCCAGCUACGUGGUCUUGACAUUUAGCCUUGCUCCCUAGUUAGACCUCAGCUUCUUUAUCAGAAAAAUGGGGAUAAUAAAUUACCUGCAUCAUAAAGUUAUUGUGGAGAUUAAGAAGAUAGUGAAUUCAAGAUCUCAGUGCACAUAACAAUAGCUGCUAUUUACUGAGUGCUUUCCAUGUGCUUUUGAUAUAACUCACUUAAUCCUAGCAAUUUCCAUAUGAGAUAUGUACUUCACUCGCAAGAAAACCAAGGCAUAGAGUGGCUAAGAGGUAGAGCUAGAAUUUGAACCCUUCAGAGCCCAGAGCUUCAGAGCUCAGGCUCUUUAACUACCACCCUAUGAUUUUCCCCAAAUAGCACAUGCUCGGGAAAUGACUGUUGGGAUUCCAUCAAUAAAUCCAAUAUGUUUUUUUCCACUUUCUACCCCUGUGACUGUGGCAAGGGUCUUCAACUGAAGACAAUCUUGUCAUUUUGUGAAGGUGAAGUGAGGAAAGGGAUGUAAAACAGCUGUGGUUGGUGCUUAGUAGCUGUUCACCUGAAUUUCAGCUAGGAUUAAAAUUACAAUUAUUAUUAGCUUUGAAAUGCUGAUUCCUCUUUCUUUGUAUACUUAAUGGGUACAGUAAAGGAGCAAUGGGUUGUUUGUUCCCAGCUUUCAGAUGUGAUGUCUAAAUGAGAAUUGAAAUAAACCAUGAAGGAACUGAGUUGCAAACACUUCUCUGAUGACUACAGCAGCUCAACCUACUGCCUGCCCAGGGCCAUCAAUAAUAAAUGUCCACAGACAGCUGAAGGACAUUAAAGACAGAUGGUGAUGGAUCAGAGCACUCAUCAGCCACUGGGUGUAGACUGUAUAAAAAGCUGAGCCCAGAGGCCACCAUGAUCAACCUGCAACCUGGCAAGAAAUGGACUCAACUCCACAGACAGCAGUUGUCAGGGAGCCCAGACAUGUAAGGAUGCGGCAAAGGCCCUCGCCAGAUGCUGAAUGCGGAUGCCGUCAUCUUGGACUUCCUAGCUUCCAGAACGGUGAGAAAUACAUUUCUAUUGUUUAUAAAUUACUCAGUCCAUGGAAUGCUGUUGUAGCAGCACAAAUGAACUAAGAGACCUGGCAGAUUACAGACCUCAUUUUAAUUUUAAAAACAGAAAUUAGGAUGAGCUAAUAUAUUAAUUUCCUCUGACUGCUCUAACAAAUUACCAUAACUUUGAUAGCUUAAAACAACCCGAAUUUAUUAUCUUACAGUUCUGGAGAUCAGAGUUUGAUAUGGGUCAAACGAGGCUAAAAUCAGGGUCUCAUCUGGCUUCAUUUUGUCCUGGAGGCUCUGGAGGAGACUCUGUUUCCUUGCCUUUUCCAGCUCCGAGAGGCUGCCUGUAUUCCUGUAAUUCCUCGUAAUUAUGUUGAGCCUACUCAGAUAAUCUAGGAAAAUCUCCUCAUCUCAAGAUCCUUAAUUCAAUGACAUCUGCAAAGUCUCUUUUGCCAUGAAAAGAAAUAUAUAUUGAUAGGUUUUGGGGAUUAGGGCACGGAUAACUUUGGGGGAGGCAGAUUAUUCUACAGGUAAAAACUUUUUGCCAUUUACAUAAUCUUUAAAAAAAGAUUUGAUUAAUUAUGCAAAUGUUUACAACAUACAGAGGAAGUACAAAAAAUGAUGUCUUUCACCAAAAGCAAACAGCUAACAUUUGUCAUAUAUGUUUGGCUCACAACUUUUGGAAAUAAAACGUUGCAAAUACAGCUAAAUCCCCAACUCAUUUCUCAUUUCCUUCCUUCUUACCUUUCCUCAACAGUAUCCACUAUUAAGGCUAAUGGGAAUUAUUGUGAUGAAUGUAUUUUUACCAUUUCUACUGCUAGGACUCAGAAAACAAUACCCUGAAAUGCAGACCUCAGAAGCAGCUUCAGAGGCAAAAGUUUUUCUCCGACCUUCUCCUGCUCUCCUGUCUCUCAGUUCCAUUCUCCCCUGAGGCUAGGCAGAGAAAUUAGAAUCUCUCUUCCCCAAGGCAGGUCAUAGAAACCAGAACCCCUCUUCCCAAAGCCAGCCAUAAAACUUAAAAAUGUUACUUUAACUUUUCCUCCACCUGUCUGUGUAAAAACGGACCAUGAAGAAAUUAUCUGACCUACGUUAUUUGACUGUAGGUCUUAAGAGCCCCAUUCGAGAGAGGGUUCUGCCCCACGCCCAGAAGGAAGGAGUGCAUGCUCUGAGAGGCUGAGAAGAAUCUAGACAGACGGGCCUUGCUGGAUUUCCUCACUCAGUCAGCUAUUAGCAUUAGAUCAUACCUUUUCUGUCCAAUCAUAUUUCUACAUGGUUGUUGAACUUAAGCAUAAAAAUGGACAAUUUCCCCUGUAGCUUUGAGUCUCUGUUCUGAAGGCUCCCGUGUAUACACUAAAUAAUACACUAAAUAAAUAUGUAUGUCCAUUCUCUUAUUAAUCUCCCUCUUGUCAGUGAUUUUCAGUAAACCUUUAGAAGGUAAAGGAGAAUUUUCCCUUGGCCCUGAUACUACAACAAUAGUAUAUACACUAUUGUGUGUUUUUUAAAUUUAGAUAAAUGGUGAAAUACUGUUCAUUUCUUUUGCUGUUUGCUUUUAUGUUUUGGAAAUGUACCUACGUUGGUACCAUACUGAUCUACUUCCAGCCUCCACUUUAUUCAGAGACCUCAGAUUAUUUAUCUAUUUUUCUACUGAUGGGUAGUUUCCACUUACAUGCUAUGAAAUAACAGAGCUGCACUGACACCCGUGGAUAUGUCCCUUUUGUGCAAAUGUGGAUUUCUCUAAAGGAGAAUGUACUGAGAGAUGCUACAUCACUCUCUGAAGUGGCCACUUGGACCAAUUAGCAUCUCCAGUGAUGGUACAGCGUGCCCAUUCCUCUACGUCCUCACCAACACUAGGUAUGAGCAUGCUUAUUAAUGGUCCUAAGCUGACGUAAGUGAUGUGUGUGUAUGUCACUGCUGUUUCAUUUUGAAAUGUGCUUAUUUGUGUGAGAGGUUGAGAAUAUUUUCAUGUUGACGGAUCAUGAAAUAUUCCCCCUCAAGGAAUUUCCUAUUUAUAUUAUUUUCCCCAUCUUUCUAUUGAGUUUGUCUUUUAAAUAGGGAUUCUUUUUACAUUCUGGUUACUGAUAUUUUGUUAAUUACAUGGAUUGUAAAAUCUGUUCUUAUCUUUUCAUGUUUUUUCCUGCUUCUUGGCAAGUGAGUUUAUACUGUUAAUUAGAAAACUUUAUCACACUUUUUAUUUGUGACUUGUACUUUUCCUAUCAUGAAAAAAGGUUUUCUUCAAAUCGGUUCCUAUUCUGUUCUCAUAAAGAUAUUUGCCCAUGUUUUCUUCUAACAGUUCUAUAGUUUUGUUUUUGACAUUCAUAUUUUUACAUUAUAGAAUUAUUUUUAAUAUGAUGGCAGAUAAUGAUCAAAUGUUAUCUUCUUCUGAAAAUGUGCUAGAAUUACUUGUUUGGUCUAUUACCUUCUGCUAAUUUUAAAGCUGCCUCUGUCAUAUACCAAGCUUGCAUCUAUAUGUGGCUCAGUGUCCAGGCUGCCUGACAUCCCAGGACAAUGCUGCACUGAUUUACUCUCUACAGCUCCAUGGUAAGUGAUAUGGUUAGGCUAUGUGUCACCACCCAAAUCUCAUCUUGAAUUAUAAUCCCCAUAAUCCCCAUGUGUCAAGGGAGAGACAAGAUGGAGGUAAUUGGCUCAUGGGGGCAGUUUCUCCCAAGCUGUUGUCAUGAUAUUCAAUGAGUUCUCAUGAAAUCUGAUGGUUUUUGUAAGUGUUUGGUAGUUCCUCCUGCAUUCAUUCUCCUUCCUGCUGUCUUGUGAAGAAGGUGCCUUGCUUCCCCUUCACCCUCUGCCAUGAUUGUAAGUUUCCUGAGGCUUCCUCAGACAUGCUGAACUGUGAGUUAAUUAAACCAUUUUCCUUUAUAAAUUACCCAGUCUCUGGCAGUCUUUAUACCAGUGUGAAAAUGAACUAACACAGUAAGCUUUGCUAUCUAAUAAGAAAAAUUUUGUUCCCCAUCCCAGCUUUCUCCCUUACCACACAUAUGGCCACUUCCUUUAAAUUUGUCUGGGAAUUUUUUCACUCUUUACUCUUACAUAUGGCUUUAGGAUCAGCUUGUCCAAUUCUGAAAAAAGUCUUGUUAGGACUUUUAUUAGACUAACAAUGAAAGUGCAGAAGUGAUAUGUCUUCUUUAUAAUAUUAAAUCUUCCUGCCAAUGAACUGGUUUUUAUAUAUCUUUCUAAAUAUUUCAGUAAAGUUUUUUUUUUUAAAUUUUGUUGUAUCUGCAAAUGUCUGUUACAAAUAUCAAGUUUAGUGUUUUUUAAAAUUACAUUUUAUAAUUAAUAGUUCCUAGGAAAUAAGAACAGUAUUCAUUUUUAUAUUGAUCUAUGCAGUCACCAUUAGAACUGUCCUAUUUCUCAGUAGCUUUUCUGUAGCUCCACUGGAAAUUUUUGUGUCAACAAAAUUUUGUCUAUAAUAACAGCAAAAUAAAAUAACAGCAAUUUUGUUUCUGUCUUUUUAAGUCUUAUACAUUUUAUUUAUUUUUCUUAUUUUACUGCACUGAUUUAAAAUCUUUUUUUUUCAAUGUUGAAUAGAAGCAGUGAUGAAAGCAAGGAAAAUUUUAUUCCUAACUUCAGAGGGAAUAUAUGCAAUGUUGCACUCUUCAGGUAUGAUAUUUCUGUACAUUUUAGCAGAGACUCUUCAUCAGGUAAUGCUGUUCUUUUCUAUUUUUAGAUUGCUGUUCUUUUAAUGAAUGGAUGUUGAAUUUUGGGGAAAAAAACAACUUUUUUUUUUUCCUUUUACAUUUGAGAUGCAGAGCAGUAGCGUCCUUAGAGAAUAAACUCUGGAGUCAAUGCCUGGACCUUAAUGAACAGUGGAUGACAUGUUAUUUUCUUUUUUCUUCUUUUAACUUUUAUUUUAAGCUCAGGGGUACAAGUGCAGGUUUUUUACAUAGGUAAAGUUGUGUCAUGGGGGUUUGUUGUACAGAUUAUUUUGUCACCCAGGUAUUAAGCCUGGUACUCAUUGUUUUUCCUCAUCCUCUCCCUCCUCCCAUCCUCUACCCUCCAACAAGCCCCAGUGUGUGUUGUUCCCCUCUAUGUGUACAUGAGUUCUCAUCAUUUGGUUCCCACUUGUAAGUGAGAACAUGCAGUGUUUGGUUUUCUGUUCCUAUAUUAGUUUGCUAAGGAUAAUGGCCUCCAGCUCCACCUAUGUUCCUGCAAAGGACAUGAUCUCAUUUUUUAUGGCUUCAUAGUAUUCCAUGAUGUAUAUGUACCACAUUUCCUUUAUCCAUUCUGUCAUUGAUGGGCAUUUAGGUUGAUUUCAUGACUUUGUUGUUAUGAAUAGUGCUGCAAUGAACAUACACAUGCAUGUGUCUUUAUGAUAGAACAAUUUACAUUCUUUGGGGUAUAUACCCAGCAAUGGGAUUGCUGGGUCAAAUGUUAUUGCUGACAUUAGGUCUUUGAGGAAGUGCCACACGGUUUUCCACUAUGGUUAAACUAAUUUACACUCACACCAACAGUGUAUAUGUGUUCCUGACAGAUUCUUUUCAAGGGCAUGCAGUUCUCACACUUGUUGGUGUCAGCACUUCUUACAGUCUUAAGAUUGAAGAUUACAAAGAGCUUUUGUUCUUGUGGAUUAUGUAUCUAUCAAUGUUUAUCAUGUUACAAAUUAAAGCUGAUAUUGUAAAAUAUUGAUUCAUUUUAAUACAACAAUAAUAAACUCAAUCCAUGUUAAGUAACAUAUUUUUGUAUGAAAAGUAUCAUAUUCUCCAGAACAAAAUGAAAUGGAGUCUGUCUGUUGAGUGACAUAUUAAACUCAUCCCACCUAUCUUCAAGCCUAAUACUACUUCUUACCUUCCAGCCUUCAAGCGAUUGUAAUCGUAUGUUAUACUUCCACCUAUGUUAUAAACCACACAAUAUAUUAUUAUUUUUGCUUUAAGCAGUAAUUUUUAAAAAUAAUUUGUAAAAAUAACAAAAAGCUAUUUAAAUAUAGCUACAUAUAUGCAAGCCCAAAUCUGACUUCAAGCUUUGAUGUGGGGGGAACUUUUUAGCUUAUUUAUUCACUUAUGCAUUAGUCAUGAUUGCUGCAUCUGCAGAAACUCACGUGAAAAUAAUGUGCUAAAUUGUCAAAUGUUUGGGGUGGCUUCUACUGUUGGACCAUACACAACCUUCACAUUUCAGAUAUUCUUACUUUAGGGACUAUUGAGCAAGCAGAGAAGAAAGCCUUACUAUGCACUGUUUUUAUUAAUUCUCUUCCAAUUGCUUUCUUUUCCUGCCCUUCCAGUUGUAGUUAAACAGCGGGGAGAACAGAGUUGUCCUGCUGGGGCAGUGGUUCACAGCUCCAUGGGGCCCCUAGAGACAGAGCACUACGGAAGGGAGCCCCAUUCCCAAGCAUGGUGUCCAAUACACUGAAAGAAUAACUGGGCUCAGUAAUGCACCUAGAGACUCAGAUUCCAGACCUGCCCACUUGCUUUACUAUCCAAAACAACCAUGACACAUGACUUCUCUGGCGGGGUGUUGGCCAAGACAAACUGAACUAUAGAAGAUCCUUGACUUGCCAACGUUCAAAUGAUGAACUUUCAAAAAUAGCGAAACUGGCUGCAGAGCAAAAGCUUUUCAGCUCUGCACAACACCAACAGAUGGCGCUAAGUGUCACCCUUGUGGAGAGCAGAGGGACCUCGGAAGGGCCUUUGGAAAUCUAAUCUGGUUUUGAGUUCUUGGUGGGAAAAUGCACCUUUAAGUUGGGGGAGUUUGAAGACGUUGCCAAGACACGUGCUGCAGCAUUUGAUCUUUUCUGCCGCACUGGCUUCUGCAAUUAACAUGCUUUCACCAGUGAAACUCAGGUUGCGGGGAGAGCAUUCUUCCAGGUUCAUGCCUGUUGUCAUGGAGUAAUUAUAAUUCAUGUCUCCGUUCACAGUGUCCUGGUUUGUAGAAUAAAAUAUCUGGUCCACCCACCCA